UUUUAAAUAAUGUCCUCUUCGUGCCGGUGUGGAAGUAGCCCGGAUGCAAUUGAAUGAACAACAGACGUUCAUUUGGGUAGCUCCUCUGUGAGCCUCCCAGCGCCGACUGCAGAGCCCCCACUCUCCAGCCUGCAAGACCCCGAAAUUCAAGCCACACAAAGAAAGGAGGAGGGGCCGUUGGCGUUUACUGAAGCUUAUAAAACUGUCAGCAAAACAGCCCUUACGCUUGGACUCCCUGCUAGCCGGAUUUUACAGUGCUGAAGUCAGCAUCUUGAUUCAGCUGCAUAAAUAAUCUCCUGCAGUCCUGCAAGGCCUGGGGUAGGAGAGGGUAUGGGGACCAGGGCACUCUGUAAGGGCUGGGAUAGGAACCCCAGGAAAUAAGACAGACCAACUGCGGGACUUCAGACUCCACUGCAGCCGGGAUCGGGUUGUUGUUAAUUUCUUAAGCAAUUUCUAAAUUCUGUAUUGACUCUCUCAUGCAUGUAAUUGAUUCUUAGAUAUUGUCAGCCAAAUGACUAAAGGAGCACACUCUCUCUGCCUCUUUCUUUCUCAACAUUUUAUUUCUAACUAUAGUUUCUUC
rnacentral:lncRNA from 1 species